AGACGUUCGUACACUAAGCCAUAGAUAGAAGCAGACUGUCUGGGCCAGUGCUGUGCAGCAGAUGCAAUCUGCCAGACCAUUCUCUGAUUUCUCCUCUGAUACGAGUGGAUGUUUGGCCACGAUUGCGGAAACAAAAGGCACAAGGGGUUCUGCAGUGAGGAGGAGAAAGAAAUAAGCAUCCCACAAACGCCAGGAGUACAGUGCGGAAACACUCCCCAGUGUCCGUGAGCACUUCGUCCCCAGCUUUACAAAGGACGUGUUUCCCCAACGAGAUGAACUCCAGACAUUCUGCACCCCUUCUUGUUUUGUAUUCUGACUGCCUGAGAAAGUGAGAAGACAUUAAAUUUGCCUCGUGCAAUGGUACAAUGAAAUGAACACUAUGACAGCCUGGUAGCCACUUGUGUGAUGAUACGGUGGGCCACUGGAAGGAGCUGUAGGCUGAGGACCAGCCCUCCACCUCUCAGGCUGUUACUCUCCUCACCCCAAAAUGUUACAAGAUCGUCGAUGGAGCUUGGCCUAUUUUUCAUUUUUCCUCAUAAAAUCAGCCUUCCCAGCCUUCACUCAUUCUAAUUCGCUUUCAAUUCAUCUCCUCGGGUUCAACGCGGCACAAGAUAAUGUAACUUUUCAAUAAAACAUAAAAAUAA